rfam:Fulvimarina manganoxydans strain CGMCC 1.10972 genome assembly, contig: Ga0171588_107
ACGGUUUGCCGGGGACCUCCUCCUCCCAAUCCCCGGUGAAAAGAGGCCUGCACCUCCUCCCAAAUCGCAGGCUUCGAACUUACGGCGCUCGUCGGCACCUCCUCCCGCCGAUGAGCGCCGACA